rnacentral:rRNA from 1 species
AUUGAACGCUGGCGGCAUGCUUUACACAUGCAAGUCGAACGGUAACAGGGAGCUUGCUCCGCUGACGAGUGGCGAACGGGUGAGUAAUGCGUCGGAACGUGCCGAGUAGUGGGGGAUAAGGCAUCGAAAGGUGUGCUAAUACCGCAUACGUACUGAGGUAGAAAGGGGGGGACCUUCUGGCCUCACGCUAUUCGGGCGGCCGACGGCUGAUUAGUUAGUUGGUGAGGUAAAGGCUCACCAAGGCGACGAUCAGUAGCGGGUCUGAGAGGAUGAUCCGCCACACUGGGACUGAGACACGGCCCAGACUCCUACGGGAGGCAGCAGUGGGGAAUUUUGGACAAUGGGCGCAAGCCUGAUCCAGCCAUGCCGCGUGUCUGAAGAAGGCCUUCGGGUUGUAAAGGACUUUUGUCCGGGAGCAAAUGCCAGGUGUUAAUAGCAUCGGGAGCUGAGAGUACCGGAAGAAUAAGCAUCGGCUAACUACGUGCCAGCAGCCGCGGUAACAC